rfam:Schistosoma haematobium scaffold192_18, whole genome shotgun sequence.
CCACUGCCGAGGAGUCCCAAAAUAAGACGAAACGGCCGUUCAGUGC